rnacentral:rRNA from 1 species
AAAGCGUGCGUAGGUGGUUGUUUAAGUCUGUUGUGAAAGCCCUGGGCUCAACCUGGGAAUUGCAGUGGAUACUGGGCGACUAGAGUGUGGUAGAGGGUAGUGGAAUUCCCGGUGUAGCAGUGAAAUGCGUAGAGAUCGGGAGGAACAUCCAUGGCGAAGGCAGCUACCUGGACCAACACUGACACUGAGGCACGAAAGCGUGGGGAGCAAACAGGAUUAGAUACCCGGGU